rnacentral:misc_RNA from 1 species
GAUGAAGAACGCAGCGAAAUGCGAUAAGUAAUGUGAAUUGCAGAAUUCAGUGAAUCAUCGAAUCUUUGAACGCACAUUGCGCCCCUUGGUAUUCCGAGGGGCAUGCCUGUUCGAGCGUCAUUAUAACCCCUCAAGCUCCGCUUGGUGUUGGGGCCUGCUGCACUGGCAGCCCUUAAAAUCAGUGGCGGCGCCAUCUGGCUCUAAGCGUAGUAAUUCUUCUCGCUAUGGAGUCCUGGUGGAUGCUUGCCAUCAACCCCCAAUUUUUCUAUGGUUGACCUCGGAUCAGGUAGGGAUACCCGCUGAACUUAAGCAUAUCAAUAAGCGGAGGA